rnacentral:rRNA from 1 species
GGCAGUCAGAGGCGAUGAAGGACGUGCUAAUCUGCGUAAAGCGACGGUAAGGUGAUAUGAACCGCUACAGCCGUCGAUGUCCGAAUGGGGAAACCCGGUGCACUCUGUGCAUCAUUGCAGCAUGAAUACAUAGUGCUGCAAGGCGAACCGGGGGAACUGAAACAUCUAAGUACCCUGAGGAAAAGAAAUCAACCGAGAUUCUGUGAGUAGCGGCGAGCGAAAGCGGAAGAGCCUGUUAGUGAUAGCAGUUUUGUUAGGAGAAUGUGCUGGGAAGCACAAUCAUAGAGGGUGAUAAUCCCGUAUCCGAAAAC